GAACGAACGUGCACCACGUACAUAUUAUGGUUCCGACGACGACCGGCUUUGAGAAACAUCCUACAGCAUCCAUCCAAUUGGUGAACGAAUGAAGAAGAGGGUUUCGCAAAUGGCUUGGUCGACAUUCCAGACAUCGAAGGUACUUCGAUCUAAAGGCAAGAUCGUAAAGUAUGCCUCUGGCUUGGCAUCUAUCGAGGGUCUAAUUACCAAGAAAGGGACUGAGAGACUGGACAUAAGCCCAUCUUCUUCUUAUUCUUAUUUUUCUUCCUCCUCUUCUUCUUCGAGAACGGGGAAAUUGUCCCUUCGACUUAUUCUUUUCUACACUUAAGUUACAACGACAACGAUGACGAUGACGUUGAUGAUGACGAUGACAACAACUAGUUACUAGAAAGAUGCAUAAACGUAAUCGUAAAGUAAGUUUUUUUUUUACUAAUUUUUUCUUAUGUUGUCGACAAAGUUGUAGUAUCUACCCACGCGUACUUUGAAACCCUUGUUCAUGGAGUUACGAAUGUACUGUUGUCACUUUGUACAUGAAGAUUUCUUUGUUGUUUUUUUAUCUCAAAAUAUGGUUAAAUAUCAAAAUUUGUGUUAUAUGAAACAAUAAU